UUUUACUUUGGUUGUAAUGAAAGGCUCGGUUCGGGUUAAGAAAGAAAGGAAAGGAAUAACAAAAACUUAGGACAUACCAAAGCAUUAUUCACGAUCACAUACACAGACAGCUCUUUUUGAACUUUUUAUACCACUCAGCGUCCAGAGAUUGUGCAUAUUUUCUACUCCAUUUGGAGUGAUUUUGAACUUUUAUUCUUUUGAUUUGCAGAAUAUUUUCUUUUCUUUUCUUAUACUUCUUUUUUUUUUUCUUCUUGCAAUUUUGCACAAACACCUCGGUACACGCCAAUUCUUUGGUGUAGAGCUCAACCUUCUUAUUUUCAUUACUUUGGCACAUCCUAAGCUAUAAGGUAUGGCUUAGAAACGGGUUAUAUAGGUUAAAAGAUAGUGGGGGUGAUGAAGGAAGGGCUAAGUAUUUGGUUACAAAGGGGUUAAUGACGCAAACAAAGGGGUAGGAU
rnacentral:lncRNA from 1 species